rnacentral:rRNA from 1 species
CCUACGGGCGGCUGCAGUGGGGAAUAUUGGACAAUGGGGGAAACCCUGAUCCAGCGACGCCGCGUGGGUGAAGAAGGCCUGCGGGUUGUAAAGCCCUUUCGGUAGGGACGAAAGCUCUCGACCUAACACGUCGGGAGGUUGACUUAACCUACAAAAGAAGCACCGGCUAACUCUGUGCCAGCAGCCGCGGUAAUACAGAGGGUGCGAGCGUUAAUCGGAAUUACUGGGCGUAAAGCGCACGUAGGCGGCUUGGUAUGUCGGGUGUGAAAUCCCCGGGCUCAACCUGGGAACUGCAUCCGAAACUGCCUUGCUAGAGUAUGGGAGAGGGAAGUGGAAUUUCCGGUGUAGCGGUGAAAUGCGUAGAUAUCGGAAGGAACAUCAGUGGCGAAGGCGACUUCCUGGACCAAUACUGACGCUCAGGUGCGAAAGCGUGGGGAGCAAACAGGAUUAGAUACCCGUGUAGUC